ensembl:snRNA U6 U6 spliceosomal RNA
GUGCUUGCUUCAGCAGCACAUGCACUAAAAUUGGAGGAAUACAAGGAUUAGCAUGUCCUCAGAGCAAGGCUGAUGCACAAAUUCACGAAGCUUUCCAUAUUAAA